rnacentral:lncRNA from 10 species
AAUUGCUCUCCCUUCUAAGCUCCCACCCACUAAAUUACUCUGAGAAAUGCUUUUCAAACCACUCCCAGAGGACCAUCACAUUUUUCUUGGGAAGGAAUUAGGAAACUUACUACUCUGCUUACAAAGCCAGUGGUUUUGGUGCUGGGGUCUGGUUUACAACCCUGGCUGGGAGACUGGCCUCAGGGAAGAGGGUAUCCCAGCCCAGGGCUCAAGGACUAACUCAUUAGGAGCCCUCCUUCCAGAAGGCGCUGUUCAUUUACACCAACAGGUGUAUGUAUACCUGUUGUUUAUGUCCAUUUACAAAAUUCUCCUAAAGCAAUUUAAUAGUGAAAGAAAACCUGGCACAUCAAAAACCGGACUCCGUAUUUACAAGAUUCUAUAGAAAGGCUGCAUAGAGUUGCUGGAAAAAAAAUUAUAGAAUGUGCUCAAAGCACCCUGGAAUAAGAGAACAAAGGACAUACAUAUAUAAAGAGUGACAGCCUACAAUUCAAACAUUGAUGGGUAACAUAUGUGCUUAAAGCAGUACCCAACUCCUACCCCCAGCAAGAACGAAAACUAGAGAAGAAGAUACAAAUAUCUAUUGGCUGAUGAAGAGUCUACUCCACUCAGGAAAGAACAUGUGGAAACCAUGAGAAAUGAAAGUACCCCGCCAAACCCAGCCAAAUCCAACCUCACCUCUCCUAGACACUUCCCCCUACAGUUUCUGGAGUUUCCCAGCUUCCUUGAGCAGGGAGCUUGCUCUUGAGAGAAGUGACUUCAGCUGAGGCAUUUCCCGCAGUGUGGACUGAAAGCUGAGGGUUAUUUGCUGGCAGUACUCCCAGAACUUGACUGGACUCAAACAUCUGGCCUCAAGUGAUCCUCCUGCUUUGGCCUCCUAAAGUGUUGAGAUUACAGACAUGAAUCACCGCACUCAGCCUGAGACAUACUUCUUUAAUUCCUGUAACAUUAUUUUAUGCUUUGAUACCUGAUGGAUAAUGCAGGGCCAAGCUGCACCAUGUUCCUAAGAGAAAGCCAAGAACAUAAGUCACACAAGCCCUCAGGAAGAGAAGGAAAGAAUGAGUGACAGUAGACCGCAGAUGUGAGCAAAUUCAUGGAGGAUGGAAACUGAAUGAGGGAAUGGUGGCUGGCUUAACUUAACAGAGGAAAGUGCAUUCUAAAUACCUAUCAUAAAAGCAACAAAGAGAAUAAGCCUAUCCACUCCACACUUUGGAACUGCCUGUUUAAAAGUUGAUCCCCGGACCCCACCAAGUCUACAAGCUCCACCUCAAGGACAGAAUGGAAACUGUAUUCAUCGAGGGGCUUUUAAUUGACAAAUAAAAAUUGUAUAUAUUUAUCCAUGUAUAAUAUGAAGGUUUGAAAUAUGUAUACACUGGGGAAUGGCUAAAUCAAGCUAACUAACAUCUGCAUUACCUCACAUACUUAUUUUUUGUGGUGAGAACACUUAAAAUCUACUCUCUUAGUAAUUUUCAAGAGUACAAUAUAUUGUUAUUAACUAUAGUCACAAUGUUGUCUAGCAGACCCUUCUCAGAAUCUAACAAAAUGUUUGGCUAGUAAUAGGGGCUCAAAAAGUAUUUGUGAGUGAAAAGAGUGAAUAUAUUAAUUAAUUUGUUAAUGUAUUCACUGGCAGGUGUAUUUACCUAAUUCAGUCUUUAAAAUAAUGUUCUAUAUUCCAAGUUUUCCUUAGGGAGUUAACCCAAUAUUAUAGCUUGAUUGUUUACACAAGACCCAUAAAACAAACUAUAAUAGCAAUAGUCAACAAAGAGAUGAUAUUGGCAUAAUAUAAUGCUAUAUUGGUUUUAUUGUGCUGCCAUAACAAAUUACCAAAAAUUUAGUAUCUUAAAAC